rnacentral:misc_RNA from 1 species
UGGCUUGGAAUAUUGGAUCUAAUGAUGUGGCAAAUGCCAUGGGAACUUCUGUUGGUUCAGGGGCGUUGAGUCUCCGACAAGCCGUUGUCAUGGCUGGUGUUCUUGAAUUUUCAGGGGCACUGUUAAUGGGAACACAUGUUACUAAUACAAUGCAGAAGGGUAUUCUUGUGGCUAAUGUUUUCCAAGGAAAAGAUACUUUACUAUUUGCUGGUCUGCUUUCUUCCUUGGCUGCUGCAGGGACAUGGUUGCAGGUGCAUUCCCUUUAGUAUAGACUACUGAUGAAUAUGCUUUUAAAUAGAGUUAGUAGCAAGUACCUUUUACAAGUAACAUAAUUGUGUAUAUUUCACAUAUACCACAAGUAUAUAG